AUGAAUCUGCUAUGCUGGAAUUGUCAUGGGAUUGGCAAUGCCCCGACAAUUCAAGAGCUACGCGAACUCGUGAUAAAGUUUUCUCCUAGAGUACUUUGCUUGCUGGAAACCCAUAUUAGUGGUGAUAGAGCUGAAAACUUAAAAAGCACUCUAGGUUAUGAUAACUCUUUUUCUGUUGAUUCCUCUGGUAGGAGGAAAGGUUUAGCAAUGUAUUGGAAUAAUGAAAUAAAGAUUGAUAAUUUGGGUUACUCGCAGUAUCACAUAUAUGUGAAAAAUUCAGAGCUUGGAGGUGUGAUACGUAUCCAACGUAUCUACUUUUCCAAACACUUUUGCCCUUGUUUUGGACUCUAA
rnacentral:rRNA from 1 species